CGGCGGCCGCUGCAGCCGCUGCACAAGGGCAGGAGCUCGGCUGCCGGGGCAGCUGUGGGGCACUGACUGCUCAGCCUCACCUUCCCUUCCUUCUCUCUUCCUCCUCCUUCUCCUCCUCCUUCUCCUCCUCCUCUUCCUCCGUCUUCUGCCCCUGCCGCCUCCGCGCAGCUUGUGAGAAAAGAUUCCCAUCUCCCAGAAAACAGACGUGCAGGCAUUAGCAAGCCAAAGGAAUCACUCAUUGCUUCUAAGAGUGGAGCACACAGGACUCUCUGAUCAGUUCCUGGCCUGGUUUUCCUGGAUGGAACAAGAGGAAGAACUGGGUGUGUCUGAACUCCAGGACUCAGGGGACAGGGGGAUGGGCUCAGAUAUCGAGGACUCGGAGAGGGGGAUGGGUUCAGACCUGCAGUACAUGGAUGAGAGAGAGGACGACUCGGAGGAGAGGGAGGUGGGCUCGGACCUGCUGGACGAGAAAUUCAGAGAGGAGAACUCAGAGGAGAGGGAGAUGGUGACAGACAUCUAUACAGCAGUUGCAUUAGGUGUUGAAUGAGGCCUCUGGGGGAGACUGAGGCAAUAUGGGCUACAGUACCACCAACAUGCUGUGGAGACCCAGCUUGGCAUCUCCUUCCGUAACACCUGGAUUCUGCAGUUUCCUAGCCCUUUCCAGUGUCGGGCCGAGAAUGGAUCCUUAUCCUCAAUCCAGACCUGAUUGAGGUGAUGCUGGUAGGUAUGGGGGAAGAGCUUUGAGUGGAAGGAAGCUGUGACUGCUUCCUAGAUGGAAGGGGGUACGCUUUGCCUUAGUCUUCAUAAGUUUGUGUCUUUGAAUACUGGCUGGCUUUGUUACCCCUCCUGGAUUCCCAGGGUAUGGAAGUAACCAACAUAUCUCAUGGCUGGGAUAUUAAGAUUAUGUUCUUUCCUCUAACCCACCCCCAGCCUCUUCUUCCAACCCCUACAAUGCAGAGAGGCAUGCAGCUUUUCCUAAC
rnacentral:lncRNA from 1 species